rnacentral:rRNA from 1 species
CUGUUUUUUAUUAAGGGCGCACGGUGGAUGCCUGGGCAUCGUCAAGCCGAUGAAGGACGUGGAAGGCCGCGAUAGUCCUCGGGGAGUUGUCAAUCGAGCGUUGAUCCGAGGGUGUCCGAAUGGGGUAACCUAGCGCACGCUUUUUUGGGUGUGUGUUUCCUUGUGGUGAAUGUAUAGCUGCAUAGGGGGUGUACGCGGGGAAGUGAAACAUCUCAGUACCCGUAGGAGAAGAAAACAAUAGUGAUUCUGUGAGUAGUGGCGAACGAAAGCGGAUGAUGGCUAAAAGUCAUGCGUGUGAUACUCGGCAGGGGUUGCGUGUGGCUGGUUGUGGGGCAUGUGUGUUGGUGAUACUGCCGUGUCAUCUCGAUUGUUGGUGUGUGUGAGGCGAAGUGGUGUGGGAUCACCUACCGUAGACGGUGAGAGUCCGGUAGCCGAACAUGCGCAUCAGUGGUUGUGUGCGUGUACCCGAGUAGCAGCGGGCUCGUGGAAUCUGCUGUGAAUCUGCCGGGACCACCCGGUAAGCCUGAAUACUUGGCGUGACCGAUAGUGUAUGAGUACCGUGAGGGAAUGGUGAAAAGUACCCCGGGAGGGGAGUGAAAUAGUACCUGAAACCGUGUGUCUACAAUCCGUCAGAGCAUCCUUUUUGGGGUGUGAUGGCGUGCCUUUUGAAGAAUGAGCCUGCGAGUCAGCGGCAUGUCGCGAGGUUAACCCGUGUGUGGGGUAGUCGUAGCGAAAGCGAAUACUAACUAGUGUGUUUAGUGGCGUGUCCUGGACCCGAAGCGGAGUGAUCUACCCAUGGCCAGUGUGAAGCAGCUGUAAGAGGUUGUGGAGGCGCGAACCCACUUAGGUUGAAAACUGAGGGGAUGAGUUGUGGGUAGGGGUGAAAGGCUAAUCAAACUCCGUGAUAGCUGGUUCUCCCCGAAAUGCAUUUAGGUGCAGCGUUGCGUGUUUCUUUGCGGGGGUAGAGCUACUGGUUGGUUGAGCGGGACUAUCAUCUUAGCAACAUCAGCCAAACUCCGAAUACCGUGAAUGUUAUAGCGUGGCAGUGAGACUGCGGGGGAUAAGCUUCGUAGUCGAGAGGGAAACAGCCCAGAUCGUCGGUUAAGGCCCCUAAGAGUGUACUAAGUGGAAAAGGAUGUGGGAUCGCGAAGACAGCCAGGAGGUUGGCUUAGAAGCAGCCAUCCUUGAAAGAGUGCGUAAUAGCUCACUGGUCGAGUGGUUCUGCGCCGACAAUGUAGUGGGGCUGAAGUACACCGCCGAAACCACGACAGCA